rnacentral:lncRNA from 1 species
GCGUGCAUCCGGGUCCCCGCGCAGUGGCUGCACGCAGCCCACCUCUCCCGACGAUCCGGGUCCUCCCGCCCUUCGCGGUGAUUCUGUCGCGAACCCUCUCACGGCAGCUAUGAGACUGCUGCGCUCCCCAGACGAGGAAACCUGGUCUCCCGGAGCCAGCUCUGGGACAAACCAGCUUCUAUGUCAUGAGCACACUCAGGCAGCUCAUUGGAGAGAUCUGCAUGGUAAAGCAAUGAGGCCUCCUGCCAGCAGCCAUGUGAGUGGCAUCUUGGAGCCAGACCCUCCAGCCCCAGUCAAGCCUUCGGAUGCCUGCAGCCCUGGCUGACAUUUUAACCACAACUUCAUGAGAGAUUCUGAGCCAGAAUCACCCAGCUAAGCUGCUCCCGGGUUGCCAGGU